rnacentral:snRNA from 2 species
AUGUCAAUAAGCGUUUUCUAAACAGUAUCUGUUCUUCCUCGAUAUUAACUUUAUUUUUUCAGCGAGGUGGGGUACUCCGGGCUUGCCCGGAACUUGCCGGGGUCGGCCCUGCAUUGCAAUAUAGCGGGGAUCGGCCCAGUUCCU